UACGGGGGGAGCAAGCGUUGUUCGGAUUUACUGGGCGUAAAGGGCGCGUAGGCGGUCAGCACAAGUCAGUUGUGAAAUCUCCGGGCUUAACUCGGAAAGGUCAACUGAUACUGUGCGACUAGAGUGCGGAAGGGGCAACUGGAAUUCUCGGUGUAGCGGUGAAAUGCGUAGAUAUCGGGAGGAACACCGGUGGCGAAGGCGGUUCUCUGGGCCUGACCUGACGCUGAGGAGCGAAAGCGUGGGGAGCGAACAGG
rnacentral:rRNA from 1 species